rnacentral:rRNA from 1 species
CCCUUAGAUGUUCUGGGCCGCACGCGCGCUACACUGACGAAUGCAACGAGCUUAUAACCUUGGCCGAAAGGUCUGGGUAAUCUCCAAAUUUCGUCGUGAUGGGGCUAGAUUAUUGCAAUUAUUAAUCUUCAACGAGGAAUGCCUAGUAAGCGUGAUUCAUCAAAUCGCGUUGAUUACGUCCCUGCCCUUUGUACACACCGCCCGUCGCUCCUACCGAUUGAGUGUGUUGGUGAGGAGUUUGGAUUGGCCUCGGAAGGUGGUUCGCCACCGUCCGUAGCUGAGAAGUUCUCCAAACCGUCCCACUUAGAGGAAGGAGAAGUCGUAACA